rnacentral:misc_RNA from 1 species
CGGUUCGAGUCCGUUUACCUCCACUGAUACACCUCCAGCUAAAGAACCAAUGGAGAUUCUUGUUUUAGAUGACUUAGAUUUAGUUUUACUUGAGAUAGAACCUAGCUUCUUAUCAUUCCUCUUUUUAAAAAGGUUGAUAUGACGCUGGGCUCACUGAGAUUUAAAGAUCUCAGAAAAGUUCAGUA